AAAGCAAAAGGGUGCGAACCCUAAUCCGAGCGAUCAGGAGGCUUCGGAGGAGGUUUGAUGAACGCCGGCAAAUUCCACUCAAGCUUAAGCCUUCUUGCACAUGAUUCGGUCAUUGCGCUCUUGCCAGAUCUUGUUAAUUGUAGUGGAUAACACAAGCUUGUUGACUGAAUUCUUCAAAUUUUUACUUGACCAGCAAAUCGACAGUUGAUCAACCAAAUCACUCCACCGAGAAGGGGAAAAGUAGAAAUUGCACUUGUUUUGGAGAGCGAUCCAUAUUGGGCUAGUAAAAGAGCAGGCAAAGAACAAGUGAUCAUGGGUUUCAUCAACAAGAUUGCAAAGAUGACAGACUCUGGAUCCCAUGAAGUGUCUCAUACUUGCUCUAUCAAGGGUGGAAAGUCUUCUUUGUACUGCAAGCCACAAGGUAAAUUUGCAUCUUGGGAUGGAGAGGUUGUUCCAAACCAGGUGUUGACAAUGUUUUGGAUGGCUGUGCGCCCCGAGCCAUGCAAUUGUGUGACCUAGUGAGUAAUCCCCUGUUGGUGAUGGGAUCCAGGUGAAAGAAUCGACAUUAGAGCUUGGAAGGGGAAGGUUACUAAUCUCUAGAAAGCGCUGGGUGAGGAAGUUUGGGAAGAUCCAUUCCCCAUUGUGAAUCAUAGAAGCCAGUGUCUGAUUUGGGUGAAUUGGUGAGUUACUAAUUUCUUCCUUAGUAUAGAACAUCGAGAAUGGUCCCCUUAGAGACCAAUUAUCUUCCCAGAAAAAAAUAUUCGAACCAUUUCCAACCUUAGCUAGGAUCAUAGAUCUAGCAACACCCCUUAAUUGCAGAAUUUUCUUCCAAUUGCUAAAGCAUGAUUAAGGAGUAUUGAUUGUCCAGAAACAUCUGUCCCUAAUGAGCUGCGCUUUAACCCACUGAGCCCAUAGUUUAUCCCUGCAAUUAGAAAUAAGAGUCCAAAUGUGUCUAAGAGCUACUGCUGUGUUAGCAGUUUCAAGAUUUCUGAAACCCAAACCUCCAA